GGACUACUGGGGUAUCUAAUCCUGUUUGCUCCCCACGCUUUCGUGUCUGAGCGUCAGGCACUGGCCAGGAAGCCGUCUUCACCUCUGGUAUUCUUCCCGAUCUCUACACAUUUCACUGUUCCACCGGGAGUUCUACUUCCCUCUCCAGCCCUCAAGCUUGCCCGUAUCCACAACGCCCUCCCAGGUGAGCCGGGAGAUUUCACUGUAGACGCAACAAGCCGCCUGCACACGCUUUACGCCCAGUAACUCCGGACAACGCUCGCAUCCUACGUAUUACCGCGGCUGCUGGCAC
rnacentral:rRNA from 1 species